rnacentral:lncRNA from 1 species
AUGACACUGAAGGAUCAUUGGGGUGUCCUAACCUCAGAUAAAGUGAGGCCUUAUGAAAUGAAGAUGAAGGAAUAUUUAAUCAAGUCACAGUCAGGGCCUCACAUACUUGGAACGAUAAAACCGGAAAAAGUCACGUGGCAAGAGGAUUCACAUUUCCAAGACAUCACUUCUGAGGGUGCUGAUGAUGUCAGAAAUUGCAAAGCACCAAGAAAGAUAAUUACCUCAUAGCUAUAGGAACGUUUAGAGCUUAGCAGAAAAAUAGUCACUAGACAGGUUAGCGAGACAUUUGGGAACCUUUCAGGUAGGUCUAUCUCCUUUAACUUUUUCCUGUCUUUCUGGUGUUACUGUUAGACAUGCCGAGUGUUCUUGUCAGCCACAUACGUCCGUGCGGUUCUUCAUCCUAAUGAAUCUGGGGCUUGCUCUUCUGAAGCCAGUGAAUUUUCGAUUUAAAAACAAAGACAACAACAACAAAAAAAACCAUACACAGCCCCCAAAAAUUACACAGGCCACCAAAACAAUUGCUUGUUCUAUUUUGUAGAAUAUAGUCUCAAGACAGGCUUAAAUGACGUUUGUUUCUUGUAGACUUGCUAGAUAACGCGGAUGAAAUGUAUGGCUGUGUUCAUACAGUUACUGCCCUGCAAUCUUCCAGCCCGUCUGAUUUGCAGGGUGUGUCAGAAUGGAGAUCUCAGCCCCUGGCAGGCAGCGCUUCUGGGGCCAGCUGUGGGAUCCUGCUGCUGAGCAUUUAAUGCAAGAGCUGCUGUUUCACUGCAAUUUAGAUUGCAGCAUGUUCAGGGAGACAGCUGCUGCCUUUCAUUUUUCUUAGUACACCAGGCUGCAGUAGGGAACAUUUCUGCUGGAGCCAACAUGUGGUGGGGGAGAAGAGAAUAGGAGGGACGUGGAGGAUAGAGCUUCUGACUUUAUCGUGUUGUUCAUUCAUGAUUGUUGGGAGCAGCAGCCGAAUCAGAAGAGUUGAACCCUAUUGAUU